AUUGUUAAGGCUUUCAUUUUUAUCUUUCCAUUUUCUAAUCGAAACUGGUCAAAAGUAUUAAUGACAGAGAUAAUAUAAUAGAUAGAUAAAUGGUGGCACAUAAUCGGAGGCCACGACUGUUUACUAAAAACAUAACACAGUGCAAUCAUUAAUAUGGUAGUAUACUGUGUGAAAUUUGCCCAAUGCCAUUAAUAUAAAAGCGGUCAUGGGAAACUGUGACUAAUUGAAAAUCUGGUUAAUAGCGGUCUUAACCAUGAGGAUCCUAAGGUAGCAAAAUAAAUUGGCCAUUAAAUGUGGUCCGGUAUCAAUAAUGUAACGAUGGCCUCACUGUCUCUACAACUUGCUCAGUGAAAUUGAAUUACGCGUGC
rnacentral:rRNA from 1 species